GACGAACGCUGGCGGCGUGCCUAAUACAUGCAAGUCGAGCGGAAGUUGGAGAGCUUGCUCUUCAACUUUAGCGGCGGACGGGUGAGUAACACGUGGGCAACCUGCCCUGCAGAUCGGGAUAACUCCGGGAAACCGGUGCUAAUACCGAAUAGUUUUCGCCACCUCCUGGUGGCGUACGGAAAGACGGUUUCGGCUGUCACUGCAGGAUGGGCCCGCGGCGCAUUAGCUAGUUGGUGGGAUAACGGCCCACCAAGGCGACGAUGCGUAGCCGACCUGAGAGGGUGAUCGGCCACACUGGGACUGAGACACGGCCCAGACUCCUACGGGAGGCAGCAGUAGGGAAUCUUCCGCAAUGGACGAAAGUCUGACGGAGCAACGCCGCGUGAGUGACGAAGGUUUUCGGAUCGUAAAACUCUGUUGUGAGGGAAGAACAAGUACCACUUAACUACUGGUACCUUGACGGUACCUCGCCAGAAAGCCACGGCUAACUACGUGCCAGCAGCCGCCGUAA
rnacentral:rRNA from 1 species